rnacentral:rRNA from 1 species
GACGUAGGGCGCGAGCGUUGUCCGGAUUUAUUGGGCGUAAAGAGCUCGUAGGCGGCUCGUUGCGUCGGCUGUGAAAACCCACAGCUUAACUGUGGGCCUGCAGCCGAUACGGGCGAGCUAGAGUUCGGUAGGGGAGACUGGAAUUCCUGGUGUAGCGGUGAAAUGCGCAGAUAUCAGGAGGAACACCGGUGGCGAAGGCGGGUCUCUGGGCCGAUACUGACGCUGAGGCACGAAGGCCAGGGGAGCAAACGGG